AUUUAAUUCUCUCGUCUAGUUUUGCAAGAGAAGGUGACUCAUUAGAAAUUUGGCUGACUUCUAUGAGUCGUAUGGUGACGAGGGAGUCUCUAGCGAAUAUACACCCUCGUAUAUUCGGAGUCGUGGUAUAGAUAUCCUGUUUUUAUUUCAGGAUUUGAAAUGCGGAUUACAAAUCCGGAGCUUGAGCGGGCGGGAAUUUUCACAGAUUCCAGUUGCUUGAAUGGAAUAGAGCGGCCACGCCAUGAAAUGUGGCUUUUGACAUAAUUGAUGCACGCAUUUUGCUUCAUGAAGAAAGUUGAGCCUAAUAUUCCUUGCGGAAUGAUAGGGAAGUUGUCCGAGACGACAUGGAAAGUCACUGACACGGAGGCUAUGAAAAUUUUUACUAAGCCAAGCGUGCUAACAACAUCUGAAGUAAUUCCUGUUGUGCCCCGGUAUCGAGCAUGAAACUUAUUGGUCCUUUGAAU